rnacentral:rRNA from 1 species
AACGAACGCUGGCGGCAUGCCUAACACAUGCAAGUCGAACGAUACCGUCGGGUCUAGUUGCGCAGGGGUGGGUAACGCGUGGGAACCUGCCCUUAGGUUCGGAAUAACUCCCCGAAAGGGGUGCUAAUACCGGAUAAGUUCUUCUGACCAAAGAUUUAUCGCGUUUGGAUGGGCCUGCGUUUGAUUAGCUAGUUGGUAGGGUAAAAGCCUACCAAGGCGACGAUCCGUAGCUGGUCGGAGAGGAGGAUCAGCCACACUGGGACUGAGACACGGCCCAGACUACUACGGGAGGAAGCAGUGGGGAAUAUUGGACAGUGGGCGAAAGCCUGAUCCAGCAAUGCCGCGUGAGUGAUGAAGGCCUUAGGGUUGUAAAGCUCUUUUACCCGGGAUGAUAAUGACAGUACCGGGAGAAUAAGCUCCGGCUAACUACGUG